UAUUGGACAAUGGGCGCAAGCCUGAUCCAGCAAUGCCGCGUGAGUGAUGAAGGCCUUCGGGUCGUAAAGCUCUUUUACCAGGGAUGAUAAUGACAGUACCUGGAGAAUAAGCUCCGGCUAACUCCGUGCCAGCAGCCGCGGUAAUACGGAGGGAGCUAGCGUUGUUCGGAAUUACUGGGCGAAAGCGCACGUAGGCGGUUACUCAAGUCAGAGGUAAAGCCCGGGGCUCAACCCCGGAACUGCCUUUAAACUAGGUGACUGAAUCUUGAGAGGCGGGUGAAUUCCGAGUGAGAGGUAAAUUCGAGUUUCGAAGACACCAGUGGCAAGGCACUCGCUGGCAAGUUUGCGCUGCGUGAGAUA
rnacentral:rRNA from 1 species